GACGAACGCUGGCGGCGUGCUUAACACAUGCAAGUCGAACGGAAAGGCCCUGCUUUCGUGGGGUGCUAGAGUGGCGAACGGGUGAGUCACACGUGAGUAACCUGCCCCUCACUUUGGGAUAACUUCAGGAAACUGGGGCAAAUACCGGAUAGGAGCUCCUGCUGCUGGGUGGGGGAUGGAAAGUUUGGGCGGGUGGGGUGGGACUGGCGGCUUAUCGGUUUGUUGGUGGGGGAGGGGCUUACCAAGGCUUUGGCGGGUAGCCGGCCUGGGGGGGUGACCGGCCACUUGGGGCCUGGGAUACGGCCCGGACUCCUCCGGGGGGCGGCAUUGGGGAUUAUUGCACAAUGGGCGGAGGCCUGAUGCAGCAACCCGCGUGGCGGGAUGCCGGCCUUCGGUUUUUAAACCGCUUUCGCCUGGGCCGAAGCGUUUGUGACGGUAAUGAGUAAAGAAGCACCGGCUAACUACGUG
rnacentral:rRNA from 1 species